AUUGAACGCUGGCGGCAUGCCUUACACAUGCAAGUCGAACGGCAGCACGGGAGCAAUCCUGGUGGCGAGUGGCGAACGGGUGAGUAAUAUAUCGGAACGUGCCCAGUCGUGGGGGAUAACGUAGCGAAAGCUACGCUAAUACCGCAUACGAUCUAUGGAUGAAAGCGGGGGAUCGCAAGACCUCGCGCGAUUGGAGCGGCCGAUAUCAGAUUAGGUAGUUGGUGAGGUAAAGGCUCACCAAGCCGACGAUCUGUAGCUGGUCUGAGAAGACGACACGCCAGACUGGAACUGAGACACGGUCCAGACUCCGACGGGGGGCAGCAGUGGGGAAUUUUGGACAAUGGGCGCAAGCCUGAUCCAGCAAUGCCGCGUGCAGGAUGAAGGCCUUCGGGUUGUAAACUGCUUUUGUACGGAACGAAACGGUGAGCUCUAAUACAGUUUGCUAAUGACGGUACCGUAAGAAUAAGCACCGGCUAACUACGUGCCAGCCGCCGCCGUAA
rnacentral:rRNA from 1 species